ensembl:lncRNA
AGACUACCAAUUUACAUUCCUGUCACCAGCAGUGGAAAAUUCUUGCCUCAUUGCAGCCUUGUGGGCAUUGAGUAUUAUCAUUUUAAAAAUCUUUGCAAGUUUAAAGGCAAAAAAAGUAUCUUAUUGUCAUCUAAAACGCAUUUAUGUUAUUAUGAAUAGUGUUAAACAUGUUUUCUCUUUUUUGCCUUGUUAACUUUUCUGAUAACUGCUUUUUGUUAUUUGCACAUUUUUUCCUACUGUAAUUUUCUUCGUAACGGUUUGCCUGGUAGAUGUGUUACAGGGAUAUUUUCCAGUUUGUCAUUGCUUUUUAAUUUUGUAUGUGAUGAUAAUUGACAUAGAACGGUUUACAGUUUCAAAUCUACCAUUCUUUUAUUUUGAUUCCUACCAAGCUUUUAUGCCUAGAAAGGUCUUUCUCUACCUGUUCCAUUUAUCUAUUGCUGCAUAACAAAUGACCCCAAAUUUACUGCUUAAAACAAUAAUCAUUUAAUUAUAUUUAUAUUUGUAGGGCAGGGAACUGGGUAGGGUCAGCUGGUGAUUUUUCUGCUUCACUCGGUGUGGACAGAAGGCAUUCAGUGUUAAUCAGCUGACUGACUAGGAGAGUCCAAGAUGGCGUCACUCACAUGUCUGGGGCCUUGUGGGGACGGCUAGAAGCCUGGGCUCAGCAGGGACUGUCCACUGAGUGCUUCCUUGUGGCCUGUCCGGCACGGAGGCCUUGGGGUAGUUAGAAUUCUCACAUGGCAGCUCAGAGCUCCAACAGUGAGUGUUCAGCAAACAAAGCAGACGCUGUAAGCCCCUUUAUGACAGCCUGGGACGUCAGCUGCUCUGUCAGUCGGGGCAGCCUCAAGCCUUCCCAGAUUCAAGUGAGCUUCGUGGGAGAUGUAGUGUAGAAUUCGUGGCCAUAUUUUCCUAUUGCCUCUUUACCCCACGGGCUGUCUGCGAUGGCGGAUGAGGGAAGAUGGCCUUGCGACUUACUCACUCUGUUGGUUGCCUUUGCUGCUGACACCCAUCAGCUGCACUCUGCUUGCUCAUAGAACCCUGGUUUGGUUCAGGUCCCCGUGUGAGGACACAAUGCUGGGACUGCAGCUGCUAUCUAGACACCAUGAGGACAAACGCCUGCAAGCUGAGGAUAGUAGAGAGAGAAAAUGGAAAGAACCUGGGUCCUCGAUGACAUUUUUGAGCCACUCAUUUAAGUAACCUUGGAAUGUCUCUGCUUUGGAAGCUCUUAUUGUGAGAGAAUAAUUUGUCCCUGUUGCUCGAGGCCACCCUGUUUGGGUUUGCUGUUACAAAAGCCUGCCAACUGCUGAUGAAGCUGCCUCUUUGGCGCCCACAUUUCCCUCCGGCUUGGAGAGCGUUUGGGAGAAGGCAGCACUAAGGCAACGGUGCCCUCAGAGUGCAGGUGUCUCAGUAUUCUGGGAUUAAACACACCGUCGAUCACAGCGUGUUUGGAAGAUCACCGCCUGCUCGACACACUCUCACUGGGCUCAAUGUGGGAGACUGGACGCCCGGCCUGCGGCUGGAUGCUCGGAAGGCUCGGGGUCGGCCAGCGCGCUCAGGGCAGGGCUGCGGGCGGGAGGGGCGUUAGCAGCCCCAGGGGGCCCCCGAGUGCCCAGGGCAGGCCUGCAGCCCCUGUGAAGCAAGGAAGAGCCAUGUGGUGUAUGGUGAAAAUGGUGGAGGGAGACGGGACAAAGAAGGCGGAGGAGUGGGGCAAAGCUGAGAAGGAGGGAGAGGAAACGCCACGACAGAAGCUCCAAAGAGCACUGAGGAAAGUACUCCUGGAGAGGACCAUGAAUGCUCCCUAGAGACACAGUAAGGCUCCCUGCUGCUCCUGAGGGACUCAACUUUCCAUGGGUGUCCCGAGGUGAUCUGGGCCACAGUCCAGCACUGGAAACACAUGACACUCAAUGAAAACAAGAGGAGGAAAACCAGUUCAUCACUAUGGU